rnacentral:rRNA from 1 species
UACGUAGGGGGCAAGCGUUGUCCGGAUUUAUUGGGCGUAAAGCGCUCGCAGGUGGUUCGUCGCGUCGUGCGUGAAAGACCCCGGCUCAACUGGGGGGUGUCGUGCGAUACGGGCGAACUGGAGGCCAGUAGGGGGAUGCGGAAUUCCGGGUGUAGUGGUGGAAUGCGUAGAGAUCCGGAGGAACACCAGCGGCGAAGGCGGCAUCCUGGACUGGUCCUGACACUCAGGAGCGAAAGCGUGGGGAGCGAUCCGG